AAAAGUCAAGAAUGGGCGCGGUUUGAGCACGAAUCAGCCUGUCAUGCGCAGAAACGCAAGAAAACGUGUGCAGUUUGAUGAGAUUUUAGCGGGUUUUUAAAAAUUUAUCAGGAUUAAGCACAUUUCAGAAUUGAAUAAGAGGCCUUUUUGCGAGGUCUCACAGGAAGCUGAAUUUGGAUUGGAAUGACGAGGAAUUAUUUCACCCUGGCACACAGCUGGCAUCGGCGACUUUCCAUUAGGCAUCUGAGUGGCCGCCUCGCUGGUGGGAGGACCCGCACUGGUGCCGCUUCCUGGGGAACACAAUACUAGUUUCAUCUCCCCUCUGAGUUUGUUGUGUGUUUUGAAUUUAUUAAUCACUGAUUUUAAUGCGUGCCUCUUGACAGUGGCAGCUACCCAUGCAUUAAUUAAUUUCUGAGAUCCUCUUUUACAAAAUGGCAUUUAGAAACAAUGCAGGGUCGGCCAGGGUUGCCUCUGACCUAUAAAGAGAUGUGCUGAAUGCGAAAUGUCAGAAUUUGCUUUUAUUUGUUCGUCGUUGUGGCGCUUCUUCACAGGUUUUGUUGGCUCUUUUUUAUGUUGAUGGCACGGCGAUAUAAAGG
rnacentral:lncRNA from 1 species